rnacentral:rRNA from 1 species
CCUACGGGUGGCUGCAGUAGGGGAUCUUGCACAAUGGAGGGAACUCUGAUGGAGCGACGCCGCGUGAGUGAAGAAGGUUUUCGGAUUGUAAACCUCUGUCUUCGGUGACGAAACGAGACGAUAGCCGAAGAGGAAGCCACGGCUGACUACGUGCCAGCAGCCGCGGUAAUACGUAGGUGGCAAGCGUUGUCCGGAAUUACUGGGUGUAAAGGGAGCGUAGGCGGGAAAGCAAGUUGAAUGUUUAAGGUACGGGCUCAACCUGUACAAGCGUUCAAAACUGUUUUUCUUGAGUGGAGGAGAGGUAAGUGGAAUUCCUAGUGUAGCGGUGAAAUGCGUAAAUAUUAGGAGGAACACCAGUGGCGAAGGCGGCUUACUGGGUUUUAACUGACGCUGAGGCUCGAAAGCGUGGGUAGCAAACAGGAUUAGAUACCCUUGUAGUC